CCUCAGACCUGUUUUCAUUCAGCGGACUCAGAGUGCGUAUAUGGAAAAGCUGCUCCUGUGGGCUGAGAGCUAAUCUAAGGACUGUUGCUAAGUGGUUGCCGGUUUUACUCAACAUGAGAACUACUCACCCUCUUCAUUUACCAUGAGAAUAACCACAGUAGAUGAGAGGAAAUGUUCAUCCAACCCAAUAUCGUAUCUGUGGCAGUGGCCAACAGCGGACAUCAAGGAAAGAAGUGAGCAAGCACAAUGGGAUUAAUUCUGACGAAUGCCCUCCUACACUCCAAAACUAUAGUACAUUUUUGAUGAAGAUUUACUUUAGCUACCAGCGACUGUUUUACAAGGCUCUGAUCUGUCAGCAUGUGCAUUGUGCUCAGGCUGAGCCAAGACCACACCUCAAGGACAUUUUUAGGCACAAGGCUGAAGAACUCAAGGACAAAGGAGCUUUUCCAGUUAGAAGGAGCACUACGUCUGCUACCAGCAGCCAGUGAUGUCACAAGCAUGGAUAGACAUGGAGGAUCUUGAAGAAAUACAACAUCAAACAAGUUUCAGUGAAAUAAGCAACUACCACUGCCCCACUUCCCCCAGUGUUAGUAUCAGAGGGACCAAUCCUUUCUGCUAGAAACAAUCCCUCAAGUGACAGGAGCAUUGCCAGAAAGCAUUUACAGAUAAAAUGCUGACUGCUCAUUUACAAUUUGUUGACAUGGUAGUUGCAUGUACCUGUGUUACAUGCAAUGCAGUGAUGUGUGAAUGUAUGCUCUAUUGGAAAUUUAAAAAUACCACUGCACCAAUACAGCUAGUGAGAAUGACUCCAACAAGUUCCCUUUUACAUUUAUCAACAUAUCUAUUUUACAGUAACAGCGCAAACAGU